AUUGCUGACAACUUUAAGGUCUUUGACUUUGAGCUGAGCAGCGAGGACAUGGCCACUCUACUCAGCUACAACAGGAACUGGAGGGUAUGUGCCUUGAUGAGCUGUGUCAAACACAAGGAUUACCCCUUCCAUGCAGAAGUCUGAAGCUAUGGUGGACAAAUCCCUGCUCGUCCUCAAGCGACUUAACACAUGUUCUUUCUGCCUCAUCUGCCCUUGCAAGUGUCCCUUUGCACUGGGUGGCACCUUGCAGACCAGAUGGUGAGAGUUUGUUAGUUUGACGUAGAAUGUGGAGGGCAGUACCAGUAGCUGAGGAGUUUCUUCAGCCUUUCUUGGUCUUUCUUCUUCCUACCUGGAGGACUUUAACAUGAGUACCUUUUCCAACCAAAGAGAAGCAAGAUUUAUAGCUCAAGUCAUGCCACUAACACUUAAAUUUGAGUGCUCAGAACUCCAAUCCUAUGGGGGUCAGACUUUUUGCCUCAAAUAAAAACUGCUUUUGUGAAAAAAAAAAAG
rnacentral:lncRNA from 1 species